GUGGUAAUGCCGGAUGCUCCGGUUGGAUGCAUGUCCUUCCGGGAAAGAUUCUAUCGGUAUGGGAUGGGGUCGCGUCCUAUCAGCUUGAUGGCGGGGUAACGGCCCACCAUGGCUUCGACGGGUAGCCGGCCUGAGAGGGCGACCGGCCACAUUGGGACUGAGAUACGGCCCAGACUCCUACGGGAGGCAGCAGUGGGGAAUAUUGCACAAUGGGCGCAAGCCUGAUGCAGCGACGCCGCGUGCGGGAUGGAGGCCUUCGGGUUGUAAACCGCUUUUGAUCGGGAGCAAGCCCUUCGGGGUGAGUGUACCUUUCGAAUAAGCACCGGCUAACUACGUGCCAGCAGCCGCGGUAAUACGUAGGGUGCAAGCGUUAUCCGGAAUUAUUGGGCGUAAAGGGCUCGUAGGCGGUUCGUCGCGUCCGGUGUGAAAGCCCAUCGCUUAACGGUGGGUCUGCGCCGGGUACGGGCGGGCUGGAGUGCGGUAGGGGAGACUGGAAUUCCCGGUGUAACGGUGGAAUGUGUAGAUAUCGGAAAA
rnacentral:rRNA from 1 species